GAUGAAGAACGUAGUGAAAUGCGAUAAGUAAUGUGAAUUGCAGAAUUCAGUGAAUCAUCGAAUCUUUGAACGCACAUUGCGCCCUCUGGUAUUCCGGAGGGCAUGCCUGUUCGAGCGUCAUUUCGACCCUCAAGCAUUGCUUGGUGUUGGGGCACCGCCUGUAAAAGGGCGGGCCCUGAAAUCUAGUGGCGAGCUCGCCAGGACCCCGAGCGUAGUAAUUAUAUUUCGUUCUGGAAGGCCCUGGCGGUGCCCUGCCGUUAAACCCCCAACUUCUGAAAAUUUGACCUCGGAUCAGGUAGGAAUACCCGCUGAACUUAAGCAUAUCAAUAAGCGGAGGA
rnacentral:misc_RNA from 1 species